GCAUCAUCUCGUUGGCUGCGUACAAUAAGUGGUGGAUAAAGGAUAAGGCCUAUUGUAUUGUGCGUGCAUGCCCGAGAGAUGAUCAUAUUAUUUUGGUGAUCCCAAAUCAUGCGUCCAUCCUUAGAUGACGUUUUGAAU
rnacentral:rRNA from 1 species